rnacentral:rRNA from 1 species
UACGGAGGGUGCAAACGUUGCUCGGAAUCAUUGGGCGUAAAGCGCACGUAGGCGGUUCGUUAUGUCGGAUGUGAAAUCCCUCGGCUCAACCGAGGAAGGGCAUCCGAAACUGGCGUGCUUGAGUAUGGAAGAGGGUCUCGGAAUUCCCGGUGUAGAGGUGAAAUUCGUAGAUAUCGGGAGGAACACCUGUGGCGAAAGCGACGUGCUGGACCUCUUCUGACGCUGAGGCGCGAAAGCCAGGGGAGCGAACGGG